GCCUUCGUGGCUCAGCUGGUUAGAGCGCCGGUCUCAUACAUGCGCGAUCAUUGCACCGCGUGGUGCGUAAUAUGACCACACUUCACGGUGGGCCAUCCGGAGAUCGCCAGUUCGAUCCUGGCCGAGGGCA
rfam:Puccinia sorghi strain RO10H11247 Scaffold_755, whole genome shotgun sequence.